ACGAUACGGGACUCAAUAUGAGGCCCCGUAAUUGGAAUGAGUACACUUUAAACCCUUUUUCAAAAAGCCAUUGGAGGGCAAGUCUGGUGCCAGCAGCCGCGGUAAUUCCAGCUCCAAUAGCGUAUAUUAAAGUUGUUGCGGUUGGUGAAAUUCUUGGAUCGUCGCAAGACGCACUAGAGCGAAAGCAUUUGCCAAGUAUGUCUUAAUUGAUCAAGAACGAAAGUUAGAGGUUCGAAGGCGAUCAGAUACCGCCCUAGUUCUAACCAUAAACGAUGCCAGCCAGCGAUCCGCCGAUGUUCCUCCGAUGACUCGGCGGGGAGCUUUCCCCGGGAAACCAAAGCUUUUGGGUUCCGGGGGAAGUAUGGUUGCAAAGCUGAAACGGUGAAAUUCUUGGAUCGUCGCAAGACGCACUAGAGCGAAAGCAUUUGCCAAGUAUGUCUUAAUUGAUCAAGAACGAAAGUUAGAGGUUCGAAGGCGAUCAGAUACCGCCCUAGUUCUAACCAUAAACGAUGCCAGCCAGCGAUCCGCCGAUGUUCCUCCGAUGACUCGGCGGGGAGCUUUCCCCGGGAAACCAAAGCUUUUGGGUUCCGGGGGAAGUAUGGUUGCAAAGCUGAAACUUAAAGGAAUUGACGGAAGGGCACCACCAGGAGUGGAGCCUGCGGCUUAAUUUGACUCAACACGGGAAACCUCACCAGGUCAGGACAUUGGAAUGAUUGACAGAUUGAUAGCUCUUUCUUGAUUCAGUGGGUAGUGGUGCAUGGCCGUUCUUAGUUGGUGGAUCGAUUUGUCUGGUUAAUUCCGAUAACGAACGAGACUCUAGCCUAUUAACUAGACGAUUCCGGUAUCGAAGCUACCGGCGAUAUAUGUUCUUCUU
rnacentral:rRNA from 1 species